AGUGCACCAGCAGAAUAGUGAGUGCAGCUCUGGAGUAUAAUACAGGAUGUAUCUCAGGAUCAGUACAGGAUAAGUAAUGUAAUGUAUUUACGAAGUUACCCAACUAAGAUAUGUUGACAGUUAUACAUGAUGACAUUUUACAACGUUUUAGUAAAAAUGUCGGUUAAUAAGACAACUAAUCAACUUCAAUGUUUUCCAUGGUCAGAAUUUUUGCCGCUCUCACCCAACAGGGGAAAGACUCUUAUCAUGUGACUGUCAUGGUAAAUGGUAACCCCUUAGACAGUGACCAUACAUGGCAUCCUUUCAAAAUUGCAUGUUUAAUGAGACUAUUAUAUAUAUAUAUAUAUAUAUAUAGUGGCGAGUGACAAUCUACUGUAUCCAACCACAGUGGGCCUGUGUCCUAGUGACCCACGGAGAUGAACAUAUUGAUCUGCCAAUAGAAAGCAUAGAGAAAGGACAGCACCACUUACUGACGUAUGUUAGUCCAUCAUUUGGUGGCGGUGCUCGAGGUGUCAGGCCCUGGCCCAAGGGACCCCUCAAUUACCGAAAAAAUUGGAGUGCUACGGUUUUUUCAAACUUUUUCCAUAUUGAUUUGCCAGUCACACAAUGCAAUGGCCACAUUGCUUUUUUUUCUCUUAUCUCUUCUCUUUGCUUGAAGUGAAGCCCAAGGCGUGUAGCUAAUAGGGUGCAGAGGCCACUGUGACACCUAUUAUAAAUGGCACAUUGUAGUGUGGGUGCCCUCUUACAGAUUUUGCACAGGUUCCUAAGACGCUUUGAGUUACUCUUGUGCAAACCCCCAUGUGUAACAUAUCCUAAUGGCAGCCAUAUUGAGAACAUACUUGCCAACUCUCCCAGGACGCCCGGGAAGCUAUUACAAUACAUGAGAGACCUCCCGCAACCCCUGGAAGAGUUGUCAAAUCUCCUGGGCACCGAGGGCUGCCCUCCAUGUACUGUAACUGAAUCUGGUGCUGGGAUUCUGCCUUAUUAGAUGCAGUCCCAACUCCCAAAAGUGCAGUGAGGGGGUGGGGCCUGAAAAAGAGGGCGUGUCCGUGGCGAAAAAUACGUGCCCCGCUUCACACACCGCAGCCUCCUAUCUCCCUGAUGUCAGCUUUCAGAAGUCGUCUAGUAUGAUUGAGAACCAUGUGUCAGCACUACCAGGGCUCCUGGUUUUGGAAGCUUUUUAUAUAUUUUUUUGGAAUCAUGUUUUUUCCAGAGCUGUAAAGGUCAGAAAAGAGGUGUAUUUUUAAAUGUAAAUGUGCAAUGGCCGCCUGUUGCUAGGCAACAGCCAUGACGACAACAAAACUUUAUUGUACAAGACAGAUGUUCAAUAAUGAACAAAACCAUUGACUGUGCAUGUAGAUAUCAGCGUCCAGGACGCCCGCUUCACGGCCCAAUUGCUUGUCGUGUAAGAUCCUUGAAGCCACCUUGGACUUUAGGUGCUUUCUAUGGAGACAGCAUAUCCUUGUGUACAAUAUACAUUAUUAUAUAUAUCAGCUGUACUGGGGCAAUAUCAUUUUUGUAAGACUUCUUUAAUUUGCAGCACUAAGGGGGUUAGUUCUAAGACCGAAGGUAUUUCUAGUGUGUAAACACCUGUAGAAGCAUGAAUCCCAUCAUCCGUGAUGACUACUGUCAUUCGGACUUACAUAACAGCGGUAUAUUGAGAGGAGUUAAUGUCGGUAUAGGCCUUGUUGGGAGUUUUUGGCCGUUGCCCAUUACAUUUCACUGAUGUCAUUGUUCAGGAUGUUCCUGAAUCGGCAGGCGGACUGCGCUCCGUAGCUGCAGAGUACUGACUGGGGUGUGGGGUUUUGACGACUUAUGCUGCCGUGGUUGUUGCUGCCCAUGGUAGGAUUGGAACGGGACGAAUACCCCUAAAUUAAAAUAAAAAUAUUUGGGACAUGUUUAUGGCAAAUGGAGGACAAAGGUAUGUAAAGUGACCUAUGUGGAUCCCUUGUAAAAAAA